GACGAACGCUGGCGGCGUGCCUAAUACAUGCAAGUAGAACGUAGUUGCGAACGGGUGAGUAACGCGUAGGUAACUGCCUGGCAGUGGGGGAUAACUAUUGGAAACGAUAGCUAAUACCGCAUACUACCAGAUGGAUCUGGGUUGUUUUAGUUAGUUGGUGGGGUAACGGCUCACCAAGGCAACGAGACAUAGCCGACCUGAGUGGGUUGUCGGCCACACUGGGACUGGGACACGGCCCAGACUCAUACGGGAGGCAGCCAUAGGGAAUCUUCGGCAAUGGACGGAAGUCUGACCAAGCAACGCCGCGUGAGUGAAGAAGGUUUUCGGAUCGUAAAGCUCUGUUGUAAGAGAAGCGGUAUCUUACCAGAAAGGGACGGCUAACUACGUGCCAGCAGCCGCGGUAAUUC
rnacentral:rRNA from 1 species